AUAAGUUUCACUUACUCUCUUUUAUUCAGUUUGGUUAGUGAUUUUCCGUUGCAAUUUGCACUCAUCAUUUGCACCGUAUUUAUCCGUGUUAAUCAACGACUCGAGCAUCUGAUUGAACAUCCUGACUCAGUUGACGACAACAUUAGAUCAAUUCGUUUUAUGCACUCUGUCGGUUCACAAUUGGCUCUAAAAGCCGAUCAAUUCGUUCGCUACUUUACAGCAGCCAAUUAUUCCAUUAUGGUUUCAUUUAUUCUGAUUAAUCUUUAUAGCAUCAUUUUCUUGUCAGAAUCAUUGAAUGACUAUUUUGCUGGGACUGGUGUACAAGUUGUUGUCACCUCAGUGGCUGCUAUGUUCACGUACUAUGCAAUCAAAAUAAAUCAUUUGGCCUCAAAGGGUUUUCAUCAUGCAUAUCAAUUGACUUUUAUUGCGAACAGCCCAAAUCAUUUUGCAGAGACUUCUUUACUUGUAUACAGAAUGGGCCGUAAUGAUAUUGGACUUACAUUUGCUAAUCUAUUUACCAUCACAGCAUCAUUCGUCACUUCUCUGGUUACUCUUUGUAUAACAUUCAUUUUGGCCUUUCCAACAAUUCAAUGCUGAAGAGGAUAUCGUGAUUGAAGAGACUGUCGCUGUCAAGUUAUUAAACAAAUCCGUUGUGGUCCGAUGAAGUCCUCAUUAAACUUUUAGAUGAAAGGAAGAGAACCAUAAUUCAUAUCAAAUCAUAUUUUCCAUCAACGAACACUUUUUUUGUGUAUCAGAUAAUGUUCAUGUAAAUAAAGGAAACUAGUCACUAGUUGAAACCUCAAAAUAA